UCUUUUGACGAAGUAAGAACGUUAAAUCGUUAGAAAACACACUUACUGUAAAUGCAACUUUAAGCCUCUUUCACACGGCAAUACUAUUAUCGUCCUAUUUAUAUGAUAAAUACCAAUUGCAUAUACAAAUUCAAAGAGAAUCUUUCAAACGAUCGCUAUCUAAACUUAUUGAGUUUGUAUAUAGGACACAGUAUCCAUCAUAAAUAUCAAAAGAUAUUUAUGUUGCCGUGUGAAAAAGACCUUAAGACAAGGAAAGGAAUGUCAUUUCAUGCAAGAAGAAAGUUAACGAGGAAAUAUAUAUCUUAAUCUUCCUUUUGAUACGCUCUCGAAUAAUGAAUAAUCAUUUAGAGAAGUAGCAUAUUAUAACUAAACUAAAAUAUUUUACACGCAAUGAUACAUUUAAAAAAAAAAAAAAAAUGAAGAAUAUACGAUAAAAAUUAAUUCAAAAGUAAAAAAAUCAUAAUAAAUGAUAUCAUCGCAAAAAGCUUAGAUAAAAAGAUAAGCGAAUUAAUAAAGAAUAUUAAAACAAUGAUAUGAUUGCAUCAUUGUUCGUAAAAAGGAAGGAAACUCUUUCUUCUUUUUUUUUUUUUUUUUUCUUUUUGCUUUUUCCGACUGGUAACCAAGGGCAAUAGCAUAAUCGGCAAGGCCACGCAAUAAAGAUGAUUAGUCUUUGGGAUGCGAGUACUUUUCUUGUUUCCUUAAAUGGCGUCUACAUAAUGAGUCAUCAGCCGCGUUAUUUUCAUGCCAAUUGACGUAACAGACUCGCGGCUGGAGCAAACAAAAGUAGUUUCCCUUCUCUUAAAGCAGAAUGCACACAAUCUGUGCGUGCACUCUCUUUUUCUUUCCUUUUCCAUUCUUAUCAAACACUGUAAAACACUGAUGAUAAGCGGUGAAGCUACUAAAACUCCUAAAGAACAGUCAACGACAUCACCUCGUGUUGCACCGCUAUUUAUACUUGGCGCUUUAAAAGGCAAACGUCAUCGGCAGGAAUGAAAACAAGGAAAAAAAAACGAUGAUUCGAAAUGCUAUAGUCGCCUAAAAUUGAUUAUAUUUAGUUGGUUCGCAAAAAUGUUGAAAGAAAAGACGACAAGGAGACAAUAAAGAUAUACUACGACUGUGUCAAGGUGAAGGCGCGUCUCAUCAACCACUUGGUGAAAGCAAAUGGAACAUCCAUUUGAUUGUAACUGUUCUUUCAAAUCAUGUGUUGGAAAUCUAAAUACUAAAUUCUAUU